rnacentral:rRNA from 1 species
UACGUAGGGUCCGAGCGUUGUCCGGAAUUAUUGGGCGUAAAGAGCUCGUAGGCGGUUUGUCGCGUCUGCUGUGAAAACCUAAGGCUCAACCUUGGGCUUGCAGUGGGUACGGGCAGACUAGAGUGCGGUAGGGGUGACUGGAAUUCCUGGUGUAGCGGUUGAAUGCGCAGAUAUCAGGAGGAACACCGGUGGCGAAGGCGGGUCUCUGGGCAGUAACUGACGCUGAGGAGCGAAAGCGUGGGGAGCGAACAGG